rnacentral:rRNA from 1 species
AGAGUUUGAUCCUGGCUCAGGAUGAACGCUAGCGGCAGGCUUAACACAUGCAAGUCGAGGGGUAACAGGAAUAGCUUGCUAUUCGCUGACGACCGGCGCACGGGUGCGUAACGCGUAUAGAAUCUACCUUUUACUAAGGGAUAGCCUUUAGAAAUGAAGAUUAAUACCUUAUAGUAUUAUAGACUGGCAUCAGUUUAUACUUAAAGAUUUAUUGGUAAAAGAUGACUAUGCGUUCUAUUAGCUAGAUGGUAAGGUAACGGCUUACCAUGGCGACGAUAGAUAGGGGUCCUGAGAGGGAGAUCCCCCACACUGGUACUGAGACACGGACCAGACUCCUACGGGAGGCAGCAGUGAGGAAUAUUGGGCAAUGGAGGCAACUCUGACCCAGCCAUGCCGCGUGCAGGAAGACGGCCCUAUGGGUUGUAAACUGCUUUUAUACAGGAAGAAACUUAUCCACGUGUGGAUAACUGACGGUACUGUAAGAAUAAGGACCGGCUAACUCCGUGCCAGCAGCCGCGGUAAUACGGAGGGUCCAAGCGUUAUCCGGAAUCAUUGGGUUUAAAGGGUCCGUAGGCGGAUUGAUAAGUCAGAGGUGAAAUCCCACAGCUCAACCGUAAAAUUGCCUUUGAUACUGGUUGUCUUGAGUUAUUGUGAAGUAGUUAGAAUAUGUAGUGUAGCGGUGAAAUGCAUAGAUAUUACAUAGAAUACCAAUUGCGAAGGCAGAUUACUAACAAUAUACUGACACUGAUGGACGAAAGCGUAGGUAGCGAACGGGAUUAGAUACCCCGGUAGUCUACGCCGUAAACGAUGGAUACUAGCUGUUCGGACUUCGGUCUGAGUGGCUAAGCGAAAGUGAUAAGUAUCCCACCUGGGGAGUACGUUCGCAAGAAUGAAACUCAAAGGAAUUGACGGGGGCCCGCACAAGCGGUGGAGCAUGUGGUUUAAUUCGAUGAUACGCGAGGAACCUUACCAGGGCUUAAAUGUAGAUUGACAGGUUUAGAGAUAGACUUUUCUUCGGACAAUUUACAAGGUGCUGCAUGGUUGUCGUCAGCUCGUGCCGUGAGGUGUCAGGUUAAGUCCUAUAACGAGCGCAACCCCUGUUGUUAGUUGCCAGCGAGUCAUGUCGGGAACUCUAACAAGACUGCCAGUGCAAACUGUGAGGAAGGUGGGGAUGACGUCAAAUCAUCACGGCCCUUACGUCCUGGGCUACACACGUGCUACAAUGGUAGGGACAGAGAGCAGCCACUGCGCGAGCAGGAGCGAAUCUAUAAACCCUAUCUCAGUUCGGAUCGGAGUCUGCAACUCGACUCCGUGAAGCUGGAAUCGCUAGUAAUCGGAUAUCAGCCAUGAUCCGGUGAAUACGUUCCCGGGCCUUGUACACACCGCCCGUCAAGCCAUGGAAGCUGAGGGUACCUGAAGUCGGUCACCGCAAGGAGCCGCCUAGGGUAAAAUUGGUAACUAGGGCUAAGUCGGAACAAGGUAGCCC